rnacentral:rRNA from 1 species
GAAUGGUUAAGCUAUAAAGAGCACAGGGUGGAUGCCUAGGCACUGAGAGCCGAUGAAGGACGUGAUAAGCUGCGAAAAGCCACGGGGAGGAGCAAAUAUCCUUUGAGCCGUGGAUAUCCGAAUGGGGGAACCCACUUAAGUAAACCUUAAGUACUGACAAGCCAAUACAUAACUUGCCAGAGGGAACCCGGGGAACUGAAACAUCUAAGUACCCGGAGGAAGAGAAAGAAACAUCGAUUUCCUUAGUAGCGGCGAGCGAAAGGGAAAGAGCCCAAACCGAGAGAUUUAUCUUUCGGGGUUAGGACUGCAUAAUUGAUCUGCGAUUGAUAGGAGAAUGGUCUGGGAAGUCCAGCAGGAAAGCGUGAAAGCCGCGUAUCCGAAAUUGAAAGCAGCAAGGCAGUAUCCAGAGUACCACGAGACACGAGGAACCUUGUGGGAAUGAGCGGAGACCACUCCGUAAGGCUAAAUACUACUCAGUGACCGAUAGCGCAUAGUACUGUGAAGGAAAGGUGAAAAGGACCCCGGGAGGGGAGUGAAAGAGAACCUGAAACCCUGUGUUUACAAACUGUCGGAGCACGUAAGUGCGACGGCGUACUUUUUGUAGAACGGUCCGGCGAGUUAUGAUACGCGGUAAGGUUAAGGACUUAAGGUCCGGAGCCGAAGCGAAAGCGAGUGUUAAGAGCACGAGGAAUCACGUAUCAUAGACCCGAAACCGGGUGAUCUAUCCAUGUCCAGGAUGAAGCUGCCGUAAGAGGUAGUGGAGGUCCGAACACACAUCCGUUGAAAAGGGUGGUGAUGAGGUGUGGAUAGGGGAGAAAUUCCAAUCGAACCCGGAGAUAGCUGGUUCUCCUCGAAAUAGCUUUAGGGCUAGCCUUCAGUUAGUCUGCCGCAGGUAGAGCACUGAAUUUCCUAGGGGGCGUCAAAGCCUACCGAAGAAUAUCAAACUGCGAAUGGCGGACAGAUGAUGCUGGGGAGUCAGACUGCACGAGAUAAGUUGGGUGGUCAAAAGGGAAAGAGCCCAGACCUACAGCUAAGGUCCCAAAGUGCGUGUUAAGUGGAAAAGGAUGUGGGAUUUCGAAGACAACUAGGAUGUUGGCUCAGAAGCAGCCACACAUUAAAAGAGUGCGUAAUAGCUCACUAGUCGAGAGGUCCUGCGCCGAAAAUGUCCGGGGCUGAAACACGACACCGAAGCUUAGGAACAGAAUAUGUUGGUAGAGGAGCAUUGUUAGCGGAACGAAGCCAUACCGGAAGGAGUGGUGGACUGCUAAGAAGAGAGAAUGCCGGAAUGAGUAGCGAGAUUGAAGUGAGAAUCUUCAAGGCCGAAUAUCUAAGGUUUCCAGGGUAAAGCUGAUCUGCCCUGGGUAAGUCGGGACCUAAGGCGAGGUCGAAAGACGUAGCCGAUGGACAACAGGUUGAAAUUCCUGUACUGCGAUAUAUCAGAAAUGUGGGGACACAGAAGGAAAGUGUGAGCCGGGAAAGGAAAGACCGGUGCAAGCACAGGAGGAGAGAUACAGGCAAAUCCGUAUUUCAAUCCAAUGGUGUUACGCGGAGCGAACAAAAGUAGCGAAGCACACAGACCAUCUGUCGAGAAAAGCCGCUAUUGUGUAUACCGUACCCGUACCGUAAACCGACACAGGUGGAUGAGGAGAGAAUCCUAAGGCCGGCGGGAGAAGCAUUGUUAAGGAACUCGGCAAAAUGACCCCGUAACUUCGGGAGAAGGGGUGCUCACGCAAGUGAGCCGCAGAGAACUGGCCCAAGCAACUGUUUAGCAAAAACACAGGUCUAUGCAAAACCGAAAGGUGAGGUAUAUGGGCUGACGCCUGCCCGGUGCUGGAAGGUUAAGAGGAGAUGUUAGAGCAAUCGAAGCAUUGAAUUUAAGCCCCAGUAAACGGCGGCCGUAACUAUAACGGUCCUAAGGUAGCGAAAUUCCUUGUCGGGUAAGUUCCGACCCGCACGAAAGGCGUAAUGAUUUGGGCACUGUCUCGACAAUGCACCCGGUGAAAUUGAAAUACCAGUGAAGAUGCUGGUUACCUGCGCCAGGACGGAAAGACCCCAUGGAGCUUUACUCUAGCUUGAUACUGGGAUUCGGUAUUGCAUGUACAGGAUAGGUGGGAGACGAAGAGGUGAUGACGCCAGUUGUCACGGAGUCGAUGUUGGGAUACCACCCCUGCAGUACUGGGUUUCUAACCUGCGGCCGUGACCCGGCCGGGGGACAAUGUCUGGUGGGGAGUUUGACUGGGGCGGUCGCCUCCGAAAGGGUAUCGGAGGCGCUCAAAGGUUCCCUCAGAAUGGUUGGAAACCAUUCGAAGAGUGCAAAGGCAGAAGGGAGCUUGACUGCGACACCGACGGGUGGAGCAGGUACGAAAGUAGGACUUAGUGAUCCGGUGGUAUGAAAGUGGGAUUGCCAUCGCUCAACGGAUAAAAGCUACCCUGGGGAUAACAGGCUUAUCACUCCCAAGAGUUCACAUCGACGGAGUGGUUUGGCACCUCGAUGUCGGCUCAUCGCAUCCUGGGGCUGUAGUAGGUCCCAAGGGUUGGGCUGUUCGCCCAUUAAAGCGGUACGCGAGCUGGGUUCAGAACGUCGUGAGACAGUUCGGUCCCUAUCCGGCGUGGGCGCAGGAUAUCUGAGAGGAGCUGUCCUUAGUACGAGAGGACCGGGAUGGACUGACCUCUGGUGCAUCGGUUGAGCCACCAGGCUCAUGGCCGAGUAGCCAAGUCGGGACGGGAUAAACGCUGAAGGCAUCUAAGCGUGAAGCCCCCCUCAAGAUGAGAUAUCCCAUAGAGUUAAUCUAGUAAGACCCCUUGAAGACGACGAGGUAGAUAGGCAGAAGGUGGAAGUGUGGUGACAUAUGGAGCUGAUCUGUACUAAUAGGUCGAGGGCUUAACCGAAAGAGGUUAAGGUUUGGAUAGAACAAAGAGAGUUAUUC